UAUAUGCAUCUAGUGUGUGUGAAUCUAUAACUCUAAAAUUUUAUAUCUAAUUAGCACUACUUUGAUGUUAUACUAAUGUUUUAUUAUAUAUAUUUUACAUGCAUGGAGAUAAUGGCGCCUAAUAAACAAUGGAUGGAACUCAUUAAAGAUAGACUUGCUAUUGCUUAUAUAGAUGGGGUUGAGACUUUCUUGGAUUAUGCUUUUUCAAAAUUAGGAGACCCGCAGUUGAUACGUUGUCCAUGUAUUAAAUGUGGUAAUGCAAUUUCUAGAACAUGUGUUAUGGUUAGGUCGCAUUUAAUAGUACAUGGGAUAAGACCAAGUUAUACUUUUUGGUAUCACCAUGUGGAGAUGUCAGGUGAAGAACAAUAAAAUUUUGAAAAAAUAGAUGAUAAUGACUUUAAAGAGGAUGAUGGUGAGGAUGAAAUAGAUGGUUUGCUUAGAGAUUUGUACCCCGAUAUUAACGUAGAUAAUAUGAAUAAUAGUGGUGAUGAUUUUCUGGAGGAGGAACAAAAUGAUGAAGCAAAAAAGUUUUAUAGGCUUUUGAAAAAUCUUGAUCUAACAUCAUAUGAAAGUGCAAAAAUUUCUAAGCUCUCUACAUUGGUUCAAUUGCUUCACCGUAAAAGUAUUCGUUAUCGGAGUAAUGAGUCAUUUACAAUGUUGUUGAAGUUUUAGAAAGAUGAUCUAUUUUUCGAUGUAACAAAUUUGCCGGAAUCGUAUUAUGAGGCAAAGAAGGUUAUUCGGGAUCUUGGACUUUCUUGUAAGAAGAUUGAUGCAUGUAAGAAUGAUUGCAUGUUAUAUUGGAAGGAUGAUAAUUGUCUUCAAUCUUGCAAAAUUUGUGGUGCAUCUAGAUGGAAGGAUGGUAAACAGAGUGGUGAAAAAAAAUUGAAAAAGGGAAAAAAGAUACCAUGCAAGAUUUUACGUUAUUUUCCUCUAAAGCCGACACUUCAAAGGUAUUAUAUGUGCUCAAAGAUAUCUCCUUUGAUAUUAUGGCAUCAAGACAAAAGAGUUGAUGUCGGAAUAAUAAGGCAUCCAGCUGAUUCAGUGGCAUGGAAAAAAUUUGAUGAGCUUCACUCAUCUUUUGCUGCAGAUCCACGUAAUGUACGACUUCGACUUGCUAGUGAUGGUUUCCAACCAUUUGGAAUGUCAAAAAGUCCGUGCAACGUUUGGCUCGUGGUACUUAUUCCCUAUAAUUUUCCACCUUGGCUUUGCAUGAAGCAAGAGAACUUUAUUUUGUCAAUGCUUUUACCUGGCCCUGAGCGUCCUGGUGAUGCAAUUGAUGUUUAUCUGUAACCUUUAAUAGAGGAGUUGAAUGAAUUAUGGGAAAAAGGAGUCAAGACAUUUGAUGCAUCAACUAGAAAGAAUUUUACAUUAUAUGCAUCUAUGUUGUGGACCAUUAAUGACUUUCCAGCAUAUGCAAAUUUGUCAAGAUGGAGUACAAAAGGAAAAAUCGUUAGCCCAUGUUGCAAUAAAAAAACACACCAUACAAGGCUAACAAAUGUCCAAAAAAAGUGUUAUAUGGUCCAUAGACGAUAUCUUCCUCUUAAUCACAAAUGGAGAAAUGAUAAAGCGUCAUUUGAUAACACUGCUGAGCACAGGCUACCGCCUGAAAUGUUGUCCGGUGAUGAUAUUCUUGAACAGGUUGCUGACUUAGAUUGGUUACAAUUAAAAAGGGGUCCACAGAAGAAUAUUAAAGUAUCACGCAAGAAAAGGGGUGAUAAUUGGAAUAAGAAGAGUGUAUUCUUUGACAUUCUAUAUUGAAAAACCUUAUUGUUGCGACAUAAUCUUGAUGUGCUGCACAUUGAAAAGAAUAUAUGUGAUAGUAUUUUGGGGACUAUAUUGGAUGUCUCAGGGAAAACAAAAGACACCUUUAGCACUCGGUUGGAUUUACAAAAUAUUAAAAUACGAAAACAAUUGCCUAUGAUACGAAAUGGAUAUAAAUAUGAGUUACCAGCAUCACCUUACACAUUAUCUGAUGAAGAUAAGCAAAAAAUUUUCAAAUUUUUGAAGAAUUUGAAGUUCCCAGAUGGAUUUUUCUUCAAAUAUGUCUCAAUGUAUCAAGUUAAGGAUAAAAAUUUUUCUCAAGAUUAAAAAGUCAUCAUUGUUAUAUAAUUUUACAACAUUUACUCCCUCUUGCCAUGUGUGGUAUGCUUUGCAAAUCUGUGUCUGAAACUCUUAUUGAGUUGUCAAUUUUUUUCAAAGUGCUUGGAACAAAAUGUUAGUGCGUAGAGGAUUUGGAACAAAUAGAAGCUCAAAUACCAAAAAAAUUAUGCAAGUUAGAAAAGGUGUUCCCUCCUGCAUUUUUCUAUGUCAUGGUGCACUUGUCUAUUCAUCUACCUGAUGAAGCUAAGAUUGCUGGACCAAUUCAGUAUCGAUGGAUGUAUCCAAUAGAGAGAUACCUACACUUUUUGAAGUGUUUUAUUUGAAAAAAUUUGAAGGGUAGCACACCAGACAAACUUGAUUCAAACGAUUUAGAGGACGCACACUAUUAUAUUUUGAAGAAUUGUAAUGAAAUUCAACCUUUCCUCGAUGAAUUUUCAUGAAUUCAUAGUGAGACCUCUCACCAAAGUUCAGAUGUGGAGUGGAAUAGAAAGUUCAUUACUUCGUUACAAAAAAAGGAUUAUACAAAUAUGAUGAUAGUAAGAGAAUGGAAGAUUUACUAUCGUUAUCACGUGGCCCUAUGCCAUAUGUCACAAGGUUCAAAGGUCAUAUUAUUAAUGGAUAUAGGUUUCAUGUGAAAGAGUCUGAUCAAUAUCUAAAAACUCAAAAUUAUGGAGUGGUUGUAGUAGGUGAGACCGGUGAAGAACAAAACCACAUGAACUAUUAUGGCGAGUUAGCCGAGGUUCUUGAAUUACAAUUUGUUGGGGGAAGAAUAAAAAGUCACGGAUAGUUGCCAUUUCUAUAUCACAUUUUUUUGGCAACUUGAGGCCUUAUCUGUUGCAAUGCGCAAUGUUUGACCUAUUUUGUCUAGCUGUCACUUGGUUUGGAACUGUUGAUGGGUACUUUUCGAAAACUAGAUGAAUGUUAUUUUGCAUGUUUGGACUUAUAGAUAUAAAAAGAAAAGGCCAUUGUAUAGAGUAAUAUUUUAAAAAUUGGACACCAAAAACUUAACUACGUAUUGGAGUAAAUUUAUAUCGAAGAGCAUAGUUGACUUACUUUAAAAUUUGCAAGUCCAUGUGAAUAUGAUAGGACAACCAAGGUGAGGGGAACAAACAUUUGUAAGAAUGUUCUGCGAUUAAGACCUGGAGAGAAGUUUAAAGUCACUUUCUAUCAAAAUUGAGUCGUUGGGACAAAUCAGACCUUGUUUACGAGACACUUGGGUUUGCUAGUUCGUGAUCUUAAUAUAUGCCCGUUGCGGGUACACUCAUGGAUGGAUAUCGAAGAGCACAAGCUUGAGCAUAUGUGGGCAGCUGUUACAGUAAGAAUUACAACA